rnacentral:misc_RNA from 1 species
GAUGAAGAACGCAGCGAAACGCGAUAAGUAAUGUGAAUUGCAGAAUCCAGUGAAUCAUCGAAUCUUUGAACGCACAUUGCGCCCGCCAGCAUUCUGGCGGGCAUGCCUGUUCGAGCGUCAUUUCAACCCUCGACCUCCCCUUGGGGAGGUCGGCGUUGGGGACCGGCAGCACACCGCCGGCCCUGAAAUGGAGUGGCGGCCCGUCCGCGGCGACCUCUGCGCAGUAAUACAGCUCGCACCGGGACCCCGACGCGGCCACGCCGUAAAACACCCAACUUCUGAACGUUGACCUCGAAUCAGCUAGGACUACCCGCUGAACUUAAGCAUAUCAAUAAGCGGAGGA